rnacentral:rRNA from 1 species
GUCCACGCUGUAAACGAUGGAUGCUAGCCGUUGGUGGGUUUACCCUUCAGUGGCGCAGCUAACGCAUUAAGCAUCCCGCCUGGGGAGUACGGUCGCAAGAUUAAAACUCAAAGGAAUUUACGGGGGCCCGCACAAGCGGUGGAGCAUGUGGUUCAAUUCGAAGCAACGCGCAGAACCUUACCAGCCCUUGACAUGGCAGGACGGUUCCCAGAGAUGGGUUCCUUCUCGCAAGAGACCUGUACACAGGUGCUGCAUGGCUGUCGU